GCGUCCCUGGCUCAAUUGGAUAGAGCAUCGGUCUACGGAACCGAAGGUUAGAGGUUCGAAUCCUCUGGGACGCG
rnacentral:tRNA from 1 species